rnacentral:rRNA from 1 species
CGAUGCGAUCAUACCAGCACUAAAGCACCGGAUCCCAUCAGAACUCCGAAGUUAAGCGUGCUUGGGCGAGAGUAGUACUAUGAUGGGUGACCUCCUGGGAAGUCCUCGUGUUGCAUUCC